AGAGUUUGAUCCUGGCUCAGAUUGAACGCUGGCGGCAGGCCUAACACAUGCAAGUCGAACGGUAACAGGAAGAAGCUUGCUUCUUUGCUGACGAGUGGCGGACGGGUGAGUAAUGUCUGGGAAACUGCCUGAUGGAGGGGGAUAACUACUGGAAACGGUAGCUAAUACCGCAUAACGUCGCAAGACCAAAGAGGGGGGCCUUCGGGCCUCUUGCCAUCGGAUGUGCCCAGAUGGGAUUAGCUUGUUGGUGGGGUAACGGCUCACCAAGGCGACGAUCCCUAGCUGGUCUGAGAGGAUGACCAGCCACACUGGAACUGAGACACGGUCCAGACUCCUACGGGAGGCAGCAGUGGGGAAUAUUGCACAAUGGGCGCAAGCCUGAUGCAGCCAUGCCGCGUGUAUGAAGAAGGCCUUCGGGUUGUAAAGUACUUUCAGCGGGGAGGAAGGGAGUAAAGUUAAUACCUUUGCUCAUUGACGUUACCCGCAGAAGAAGCACCGGCUAACUCCGUGCCAGCAGCCGCGGUAAUACGGAGGGUGCAAGCGUUAAUCGGAAUUACUGGGCGUAAAGCGCACGCAGGCGGUUUGUUAAGUCAGAUGUGAAAUCCCCGGGCUCAACCUGGGAACUGCAUCUGAUACUGGCAAGCUUGAGUCUCGUAGAGGGGGGUAGAAUUUCAGGUGUAGCGGUGAAAUGCGUAGAGAUCUGGGGGAAUACCGGGGGGAAAGGGGGCGCCCUGGGACGAAGACUGACGCUCAGGUGCGAAAGCGUGGGGAGCAAACAGGAUUUGAUACCCUGGUAGUCCACGCCGUAAACGAUGUCGACUUGGAGGUUGUGCCCUUGAGGCGUGGCUUCCGGAGCUAACGCGUUAAGUCGACCGCCUGGGGAGUACGGCCGCAAGGUUAAAACUCAAAUGAAUUGACGGGGGCCCGCACAAGCGGUGGAGCAUGUGGUUUAAUUCUAUGCAACGCGAAGAACCUUACCUGGUCUUGACAUCCACAGAACUUUCCAGAGAUGGAUUGGUGCCUUCGGGAACUGUGAGACAGGUGCUGCAUGGCUGUCGUCAGCUCGUGUUGUGAAAUGUUGGGUUAAGUCCCGCAACGAGCGCAACCCUUAUCCUUUGUUGCCAGCGGUCCGGCCGGGAACUCAAAGGAGACUGCCAGUGAUAAACUGGAGGAAGGUGGGGAUGACGUCAAGUCAUCAUGGCCCUUACGACCAGGGCUACACACGUGCUACAAUGGCGCAUACAAAGAGAAGCGACCUCGCGAGAGCAAGCGGACCUCAUAAAGUGCGUCGUAGUCCGGAUUGGAGUCUGCAACUCGACUCCAUGAAGUCGGAAUCGCUAGUAAUCGUGGAUCAGAAUGCCACGGUGAAUACGUUCCCGGGCCUUGCACACACCGCCCGUCA
rnacentral:rRNA from 1 species